AACGAACGCUGGCGGCAGGCCUAACACAUGCAAGUCGAGCGCCCCGCAAGGGGAGCGGCGGCGGGUGAGUAACGCGUGGGAACGUACCCUUUGCUACGGAAUAGCCUCGGGAAACUGGGAGUAAUACCGUAUGUGCCCUUCGGGGGAAAGAUUUAUCGGCAAAGGAUCGGCCCGCGUUGGAUUAGGUAGUUGGUGGGGUAAUGGCCUACCAAGCCGACGAUCCAUAGCUGGUUUGAGAGGAUGAUCAGCCACACUGGGACUGAGACACGGCCCAGACUCCUACGGGAGGUAGCAGUGGGGAAUCUUAGACAAUGGGCGCAAGCCUGAUCUAGCCAUGCCGCGUGAGCGAUGAAGGCCUUAGGGUUGUAAAGCUCUUUCAGUGGGGAAGGAUAAUGACUGUACCCACAGAAGAAGCCCCGGCUAACUCCGUG
rnacentral:rRNA from 1 species